AGGUAGAGUACCUACAUCUUCAUCCCAGACUGCCACUUUUAAGCCUAAGAGAAAGACAUAUAAGUGUGGUGUAUGCGGAGCUGAGGGACAUAACAAAAAAUCAUGUCAAUUUCGUGAAGAAGCAUGCUUGAAUUCCCAGCUUGAAGAGAUGGAAAUGAUAGACCAUGUUGAUGAAGACUAUGCCAAUGACAUUGAAGACUGUAACAUUGAUGUGGUAAGUAAGUUUUUUAUUUAGUUAUCAUAAACCGUUUGUGAACAUAUUAAUUGAUUAAAUUAAAAUGUAGAAUAAUUACUGAAUCUGUUAUUUUAUGGCAUCGGGAUGUUUUUUAGAAUGCAGCAGUGACUAUAUUGGAUGCAGGUAACAACUAAAAUAGGAAGCAGAUGGUGAAAAGGAGUGUAUUUGGAUACUAUGUGAUGGUGAUCUAGUAGUUGUAUUUGUUGGUUUAGUCUCAUGCUGGCAAUGUGUCUAUUUUGGGCUCAGAUGGAUUUUGAAGCUUAGUUAUUAAUUUCCCUAUGAAUUGUUAGUAGGAUUGUGGAUUAUGAAUGUUCGUUAGUUUUAGUUUGUGUUGCUGGCAUAAAUUUAUGUGUAAGACAAGUUAAAUGAGUAACCUUCUUUUGGAUGAUUGGUGGCAGUAA